ACUGAUGAUCCGUUUGAGUUUAUACCGUUGUAGCACUGAAAUAAUUUUUUAAUGUGUUUCAGUCGACUGUGAUGCAAGUCACGAUCAGUGCUGGCCGUCUCCCACAGUUCAACAAUUCGAAUGACUACAGCACGACACCUGUCCCCUUUCUCUAAACUGUGCGUUCCAUUGAAGCAAACUUUGUUUCGUCAUCUUCUACCACAAGCUUUUCAUCUUCUUCAAUAUCAAAACUCGAUCUGUUCCUCCUACAUGUCAUCCUCAUUAACGAGCUUCUCCGUUGAAGUCUCCCUGGCUCCUCCAUCUCGAGUUCUGCUUCUCACGCCGUCUAGGACCUGUCUCGAUGAUGCUGCCUCUCUGACUCCACCACUGCGUCAUUUCCUUUGCGAGCAAUUCCAUAUCUCCUCUUUAUCCAAAGCGACUCCAUAUUUCUUUUCCUUCUCUUUCUGUCACCGGCAAUGGUGGUUAAGCUCCUUGGAUCUGCUCUGAGAUUGGAUAUGGUUAUAUUUGAUUAUCAAUCCUGUGUUUGAGGAUCUGUUAGAUUCUGAUUUGAUUUAUCUGAACCUUCACUGAUAUUGACGAGAGUCUAAUGUAAAUUAAGUCUGUUGCUAGCCUAUUUUUAUAUUGGUUAUGAAUUAUAAUGUUUUUGUGUGAUUGAUUUUGUUUGAUCUCAGUGUAGAUCUUUAGAUUGGUUUCUUUGAUUUAGGUUCUGUCAUGCUUACUAUUGAGUGAACAGAGCAGGAAUUCCUAUGCUCCAGAUUGUAUCUCACUUCAUAAGAAAAAUGGGCUUGAUGCCACUGAAUAUGGAUGCAAUGGAUUGUAUGGUAUUUGGAAGUGAGUAAUCUGAAUAUGCAAGAAGGCUCUCCCCACUGAUGUUAAUAUCUCAAUCCAUCCAAUUAGACAAGCUAAGUUUACAAGUGUCUUUCUUUCUUUGUCGUUUCUAUAUAUUCUGAGUUUAUUUGCAUUGCUUAAAAUUAUACGACUUAUUAAUGGCAUGGUGGAAGUGCGGCUGCUCAGAUUUGUCUGGCUUUGAGGUUUUUUGCUGUUGUGGUAGCAAAUAUAAUCUGUUUGGUUCUAACAUGGUUUGCAUGUAACUCGGUUUUCAUAUAAUUGCUCUGAUGAAAUGUGUCAUGAACUUAUUGUCUUGAGCUACCUUUCUAAUUAUUUUUAGAUCACCGAAGUAACUACGGAGCAAUGGAUUCAGGCUCAGCAGCUUGAACAGCUCAUUAGUGACAUCCAAGGAAAACAUUUUCCCAAAGUUCAAGAAGCAUUUGAUGUUCAUUGGGAUGGAAAGAAGGCUAUCUCUUUGUACAAUCAUAUCUCACAUAAGCCAUGUCUCAAUAAAAUAGCUUCUGGGCUGCUGUUACAAGACACCACCACCAGUUGCAAAGGUUCAUCAAACAUGAGAUGGGAAGAACCGAGAUCACACAUGGGUGCAGAGAUCUUCGUUGGCAAAAAAAAGGGAAGCUAAACGUGAAAAUCAGUAUGAGAAAAUUGGAUUAGCUAUAAGUUAACCAGAAUGAAAGGAGACUGGCAGACCUUUGCUGAACCUUUGUGAAGGAUGGUCUGGAGAAGAUAAGAAUGUUCCUUGAGUGACCAGUUUUCUUAGUAAGAAACAAGAUUCUUCUGCUGGAGAAAAGGAAGCCAACGAUCAAUUUUUAAAAAAAUUUGUUUAGUUAACAUUAUUGUGUUGAGAAAAAAAAAUUUACAUUAUUAAUUCAUAUUAUAUGAAUGAUAUAUUUUAAAUUCCA